rnacentral:rRNA from 1 species
AGAGUUUGAUCAUGGCUCAGAUUGAACGCUGGCGGCAGGCCUAACACAUGCAAGUCGAGCGGUAACAGGAGAAAGCUUGCUUUCUUGCUGACGAGCGGCGGACGGGUGAGUAAUGUAUGGGGAUCUGCCCGAUAGAGGGGGAUAACUACUGGAAACGGUGGCUAAUACCGCAUGACGUCUACGGACCAAAGCAGGGGCUCUUCGGACCUUGCGCUAUCGGAUGAACCCAUAUGGGAUUAGCUAGUAGGUGGGGUAAUGGCUCACCUAGGCGACGAUCUCUAGCUGGUCUGAGAGGAUGAUCAGCCACACUGGGACUGAGACACGGCCCAGACUCCUACGGGAGGCAGCA